AGUUAACGCUGGCGGCGUGCUUAACACAUGCAAGUCGAACGAGAACGGAUUAUAGCUUGCUAUAAUUGUCAGCUAAGUGGCGAACGGGUGAGUAAUGUAUAGGUAAUAUGCCUCUUACUAAGGGAUAACAAAUGGAAACGUUUGCUAAUACCUUAUACUCCUUAUUAACAGAAGUUAAUAAGGGAAAGAUUUAUGGGUAAGAGAUUAGCCUGUAUUGUAUCAGUUAGUUGGUGGGGUAAUGGCUUACCAAGACUAUGACACAUAACUGGUUUGAGAGGAUGAUCAGUCACACUGGAACUGAGACAAGGUCCAGACUACUCCGCGAGGCAGCAGUGGGGAACAUUGCACGUUGGACGAAAGUCUGAGGCAGCAACGGCGCGUGCUCGCUGGCACAUUUCCGUGCGUAAACUCAUUUUAUAUGCGAAGAUAAUGACGGUAUUAUAUGAAUAAGCACCGGCUAACUCCGUGCCAGCAGCCGCGGUAA
rnacentral:rRNA from 1 species